AAACUUUCAACAACGGAUUUUUUGGUUUUGGCAUGGAUGAAGAACGCAGGGAAAUGGGAUAAGUAAUGUGAAUUGCAGAAUUCAGUGAAUCAUCGAAUCUUUGAACGCCCAUUGCGCCCCCCACCAUUUUGGCGGCCAUCCCUGUUCGAGGGUCAUUU
rnacentral:rRNA from 1 species